ACCUGCGGAGGGAUCAUUACAAGUGACCCCGGCUACGGCCGGGAUGUUCAUAACCCUUUGUUGUCCGACUCUGUUGCCUCCGGGGCGACCCUGCCUUCGGGCGGGGGCUCCGGGUGGACACUUCAAACUCUUGCGUAACUUUGCAGUCUGAGUAAACUUAAUUAAUAAAUUAAAACUUUUAACAACGGAUCUCUUGGUUCUGGCAUCGAUGAAGAACGCAGCGAAAUGCGAUAAGUAAUGUGAAUUGCAGAAUUCAGUGAAUCAUCGAAUCUUUGAACGCACAUUGCGCCCCCUGGUAUUCCGGGGGGCAUGCCUGUUCGAGCGUCAUUUCACCACUCAAGCCUCGCUUGGUAUUGGGCAACGCGGUCCGCCGCGUGCCUCAAAUCGUCCGGCUGGGUCUUCUGUCCCCUAAGCGUUGUGGAAACUAUUCGCUAAAGGGUGUUCGGGAGGCUACGCCGUAAAACAACCCCAUUUCUAAGGUUGACCUCGGAUCAGGUAGGGAUACCCGCUGAACUUAAGCAUAUCAAUAAG
rnacentral:rRNA from 1 species